rnacentral:rRNA from 1 species
AUUGAACGCUGGCGGCAUGCCUAACACAUGCAAGUCGCACGCGAAAGGGGGCAACCCUGAGUAGAGUGGCGGACGGGUGAGUAACGCGUAGGAAUCUACCUGGUAGCGGGGGACAACCCGGUGAAAACCGGCCUAAUACCGCAUACGAUCCACGGAUGAAAGCAGGGGACCGCAAGGCCUUUCUCUAUCAGAUGAGCCUGCGUCGGAUUAGCUAGUUGGUGGGGUAAAGGCCCACAAAGGCGACGCUCCGUAGCUGGUUUGAGAGAACGACCAGCCACACUGGGACUGAGACACGGCCCAGACUCCUACGGGAGGCAGCAGUGGGGAAUAUUGGACAAUGGGGGCAACCCUGAUCCAGCAAUGCCGCGUGUGUGAAGAAGGCCUUCGGGUUGUAAAGCACUUUCGGUGGGGACAAACAAGGUGGAGCUAACAUCUCCGCCUCUGAUGGUACCCAAAGAAGAAGCACCGGCUAACUCUGUGCCAGCCGCCGCAGUAA